UCUGACAAGGUACAGAGCUUAGCUGACUGGGGAACAGUGUUUGUUUUCCUCUUUGUUCACAGUGGCUAAGUUCUGUAUCUGAA
rnacentral:pre_miRNA from 14 species